UGUCCCAUGGCUUAGUUGGUUACGGCGUCCGACUGUUAUGAGUCCUCGCUCUACAGAAUAUGUCAUCGGAAGAUCGAGAGUUCAAGUCUCUCUGGGACAG